rnacentral:rRNA from 1 species
AACGAACGCUGGCGGCAGGCUUAACACAUGCAAGUCGAACGCCCCGCAAGGGGAGUGGCAGACGGGUGAGUAACGCGUGGGAAUCUACCCAGUUCUACGGAACAACUGAGGGAAACUUCAGCUAAUACCGUAUACGCCCUACGGGGGAAAGAUUUAUCGGAAUUGGAUGAGCCCGCGUUGGAUUAGCUAGUUGGUGGGGUAAUGGCCUACCAAGGCGACGAUCCAUAGCUGGUCUGAGAGGAUGAGCAGCCACACUGGGACUGAGACACGGCCCAGACUCCUACGGGAGGCAGCAGUGGGGAAUAUUGGACAAUGGGCGAAAGCCUGAUCCAGCCAUGCCGCGUGAGUGAUGAAGGCCCUAGGGUUGUAAAGCUCUUUCAGUGGGGAAGAUAAUGACGGUACCCACAGAAGAAGCCCCGGCUAACUUNGUGCCAGCCGCCGCAGUAAAAC